AAUGAAUUGACGGGGCCCGCACAAGCGGUGGAGCAUGUGGUUUAAUUCGAAGCAACGCGAAGAACCUUACCAGGCCUUGACAUGCUAGGGAACCCGGGUGAAAGCCUGGGGUGCCCCGCGAGGGGAGCCCUAGCACAGGUGCUGCAUGGCCGUCGUCAGCUCGUGCCGUGAGGUGUUGGGUUAAGUCCCGCAACGAGCGCAACCCUUGUCUUUAGUUGCCAUCAUUCAGUUGGGCACUCUAAAGAGACUGCCGGUGUCAAACCGGAGGAAGGUGGGGAUGACGUCAAGUCCUCAUGGCCUUUAUGACCAGGGCUACACACGUACUACAAUGGCCGGUACAAAGGGCAGCUACUUAGCGAUAAGGAGCCAAUCCCGUAAAGCCGGUCUCAGUCCGGAUUGGAGUCUACAACUCAACUCCAUGAAGUUGGAAUCGCUAGUAAUCGCAGAUCAGCACGCUGCGGUGAAUACGUUCCCGGGCCUU
rnacentral:rRNA from 1 species